rnacentral:rRNA from 1 species
AUUGAACGCUGGCGGCAUGCUUUACACAUGCAAGUCGAACGGUAACAGGGAGCUUGCUCCGCUGACGAGUGGCGAACGGGUGAGUAAUGCGUCGGAACGUGCCGAGUAGUGGGGGAUAACGCAUCGAAAGGUGUGCUAAUACCGCAUACGUACUGAGGUAGAAAGUGGGGGACCUUCGGGCCUCACGCUAUUCGAGCGGCCGACGUCUGAUUAGCUAGCUGGUGAGGUAAAGGCUCACCAAGGCGACGAUCAGUAGCGGGGCUGAGAGGAUGAUCCGCCACACUGGGACUGAGACACGGCGCAGACUCCUACGGGAGGCAGCAGUGGGGAAUUUUGGACAGUGGGCGCAAGCCUGAUCCAGCCAUGCCGCGUGUCUGAAGAAGGCCUUCGGGUUGUAAAGGACUUUUGUCCGGGAGCAAAUGCUGGUGGCUAACAUCCACCGGAGCUGAGAGUACCGGAAGAAUAAGCACCGGCUAACUACGUGCCAGCCGCCGCCGUAACAC